rnacentral:rRNA from 1 species
UACGUAGGGGGCAAGCGUUGUCCGGAAUCAUUGGGCGUAAAGCGCGUGUAGGCGGCUUCGUAAGUCCGUUGUGAAAGUCCAGGGCUCAACCCUGGAAUGCCGAUGGAUACUGCGGAGCUAGAGUCCGGAAGAGGCGAGUGGAAUUCCUGGUGUAGCGGUGAAAUGCGCAGAUAUCAGGAAGAACACCAAUGGCGAAAGCAGCUUUCUGGGACGGUACUGACGCUGAGACGCGCAAGCGUGGGGAGCGAACAGG